GCCUUCCCCAUACAAAUCUCAAGGUGAUGUACAAUAAAAGAACUUAAAAAUCCCAGUUAAAAGCAACACAGAAAAUAGCAGAUAUAUUUGAAAAGGAAAAACAACAACCCACCCAAAAUAAGACACCCAUGGCAGAAAUCCAUUGAUCCAGCUGGGAAGAUCAAAAAUGUUCUUCUGUUGUUUCCAGAAAGUGUUGACAGUGGGCUCCUCCUGUAUCUCGACAGGAAUGCUAUUUAACAGAAUGGGGGCAGCCACGAUGAAAGCCCUGCACUAAGCAAAGGGAGAUUUAGGGGAGCGUGACCAGUUCACCCACAGGGUGCCACAGGGGGAGCUACAAGGACUUAGAACAGAAGGUGAGGUGGGGAACUGAAUUUUGGUUUUGCACAGGGCGCUGCUGAAAUUCGAAAGCCAGAAGUCCACCACUUCUCCAAGUUACUGUGGAGUGGGCUUCUAAGAUCUUUGGACUUGGAUAAACUCUCCUGCAGAACAGUGGGAUACGUAAGGGAUAAAGGAGUUCUCAAGUAACCUGGUGCUCCUCAUAUGUUAGCACCAACACCUUGAACUUUGCCUGGUAGCAGAUUGGCAGCCAGUGCAAUCUCACAACCAAGUUGCUGUACACUGGCUGCACUUUGCCUUCAUAGCCAUCCCAUUAGCUUGGUUAAAGAUACACUAGGAAGUAAGCAAACAUGAUUGCUGUAAAAUAGAUUGUCAGCCAUUUCAAAUAAAUCUGAGCGAUCGCAAAUGUGAAACAUGUGAAUGGCAUGUUGCCUUAAUGUUCAUGUGCCACGUUUUCUUGGGGCUGAUUUACAGAGGGUUAAUUAAGCAUGUGGCAACAAAACCAAGAGUCCUGUGGAAUUUUAAAAGCGCAACGUUAUGACGUAAGCUUCAGGGACUAGAUAGGGCCCACUUGGUCAGAUGUAUAGAGUAUCAACCUCAGUUGUCAGAUAUAUCCGGACAUGGGUGGAAGUAAUGUAAAGGUGAAGCUAAAUAGCAAGGGAAUGAAUAAACCAGUCUGUGGCUGUGUAUGCGCCAUCUUUUUAAAGCACAUGGCUUCUUCCAAAGAAUCAUGGAAAUUGUAGUUUAAUUCUCACAAAGCAGUUCCCAGCAUCCUUAACAAACAAGUUCCCAGGAUUCCUGGGAAAUUCUGCUUCAUAUAUAUAUGGUGUGUGCACACAGCCUCUGACAACUUAAACGUAUGCAAAAUGAUGCUCAUGACAUCAGUAAAUGGUGACAUCACAACCACCUUCGCUUUGCUAAACAAAAUAACACCACUUUUGCCACAGGAAAUUACUGGGUUAUAUCCACUGGCUAGUGCUAUUCAUAUUCAUUAGUUUCAAUGGAUCUACUCAGAGUAGGACUAGCAUUGGACAGAACCCAUUUUUUUUUCUAUUCCAACCCUAAUGAACAGAAUCAAACUUACCAAGAAGGGUGGAAGCAAGUCUUAAAAGUUAGUAAGUUGCUUCUUACAAUAACUCCGUUGGAUUCUAUUUUAAGAGAUUCUAAG